GAACAUCUUAUAAAAUCCUAAAAUAUCCCACUAGUCAAGCUGUUUGUUCCAUAUUCUCUGAAUUCAAGCUCUUUAGGAAGUUAUGUGGUUAUUGGUGUGAUUGUGAAGCUGUUCAAUUGUUAAUGUGAACUUGUUGCAGAAUGUGGACAGGGCUGGCUAUAUUGUGUAGUGCAAGGGAGUGAAGAGUCCCCAGGCUAUGAACAUAUGUGGCUCAUUGCUGACUGCUCUUUGUGGCCAGUUGAUCCUAGGAAUAAAUUGGACAUGGAGGUGAAGACUCAUGAAUGUUGUGAAGAUGGUGGAUGUUACAAGUAUUAACUAGCAAAAGUGGUGAACUAACAUUGCACUAGUAAUAUGAAUAUCACUUACUUAAUGCUUGAGUGAUUGGCAAAGAGCAGUGUUAGUAUUACUCAUUACAGUCCUGUUUAUUUGUAUUCCUUUUUUUAGUCUUAUUACCUAGGAAGAGUCAUUCUACUCUGAUAAACUAGCAGCAUAAAUAUAACUAUUAGUGUAAUGCAGAAUCAAAGAGCAUGAGUCACACACAAUUUUGAGAUUAAUUCAAUAGUUGUACAUAGAAGAGACUCCACUAUUGCUCUCCAUUCAGAGUGGGAAGCACUGGCUGAAAGAGCCACCACCACAUUGGUUUAGUAGAGGAGUGGUGUUCCACAAACUGAUGAGGCUUCAAUGAACAAAGAUUCAUAUUUAAUAUUUAUUGCACUUAUAAUACAAUAAGCUAACCUGUACACUGAAUAUGUAUACCUUAUGUGAUCUGGGAGCCAAGAUAUUAAAAUGUCAAGGAUAA